AAACUAAGAGCGAAGUAAUUUUAACCAUGGUCGUGUAGUAAAAAUAACAAUUCUGUGUAUUGCUAAAUAAAUUGAUAGAUCUUAUUAAUAACAACAUUGUUGUUAAAUUCACUAUGUUGUCAUGACAUAUUUUACUAUGCCCAUAGUAAAAAAACUGCUACUCCUGUCAACUUGAUAUUUUUUUUCAAAGCACUCAAUUUUAUUCACUCUGUGCUAGCAAAUUUUAGUUCAUUAAUUAUUUAUAUCAUAUAAUGAUGAAAUCUGUGCACCAAAAGGCAAUCAAAUUGUAGUAAUGGAUGCAGAGCAAAUUGAUGCCCGUGACAAAAACCCGGAGCUCUGGAAAAUGUUCAGUGGAUUCAUCAAUUUAUUAUAUUUUUACCGAACAUGGCGUAAUGACGGAUUUUGUGAUCAUCUCAGCGGCCAAUGAUGCGGCCGUGAACUCGGCCGUGAAGGAUUUUUUUUCGGUGACGAGAAAAAAAAUGUAGCAACGAGAUCCGAGGACCGGUAAUUCCGGUGUUUGCAUCCAAACAACAUCUCUCGUGAACACCUUCUCAUAUUCUGUCUACACAAGUUACUUUGACUUUCUGAACAACAAUCUCGGAUGGAACGAAAACGGAAAAUUGGGACCCAGUUUCAUAAAAUGCACCUGCGUUAAAACAACCAACAUAGCGAACACCAGGUUUACCGUGGUUGACCAAGUGGUCGAAUAUUACAAUACGAAUGGCAACGUCAGAUAUUUUACGAUUUUACUAAAGUAUCACGUAGAAAACUUUACCAUUUCUACUAUUAAUUA